GUGCUCGCUUCGGCAGCACAUAUACUAAAUUUUGA
rnacentral:snRNA from 1 species